UACAGAGGGUGCGAGCGUUGUUCGGAAUUAUUGGGCGUAAAGGGCGCGUAGGCGGUGCCACAAGUCACCUGUGAAAUCCCCGGGCUUAACUCGGGGCCUGCAGGCGAAACUGUGGUGCUGGAGUAUGGGAGAGGUGCGUGGAAUUCCCGGUGUAGCGGUGAAAUGCGUAGAUAUCGGAAGGAACGCCGGUGGCGAAAGCGACGUGCUGGACCCCUUCUGACGCUGAGGCGCGAAAGCCAGGGGAGCGAACGGG
rnacentral:rRNA from 1 species